GAUGAACGCUGGCGGCGUGCCUAAUACAUGCAAGUCGAGCGAACAGACGAGGAGCUUGCUCCUCUGACGUUAGCGGCGGACGGGUGAGUAACACGUGGAUAACCUACCUAUAAGACUGGGAUAACUUCGGGAAACCGGAGCUAAUACCGGAUAAUAUAUUGAACCGCAUGGUUCAAUAGUGAAAGACGGUUUUGCUGUCACUUAUAGAUGGAUCCGCGCCGCAUUAGCUAGUUGGUAAGGUAACGGCUUACCAAGGCAACGAUGCGUAGCCGACCUGAGAGGGUGAUCGGCCACACUGGAACUGAGACACGGUCCAGACUCCUACGGGAGGCAGCAGUAGGGAAUCUUCCGCAAUGGGCGAAAGCCUGACGGAGCAACGCCGCGUGAGUGAUGAAGGUCUUCGGAUCGUAAAACUCUGUUAUUAGGGAAGAACAAAUGUGUAAGUAACUAUGCACGUCUUGACGGUACCUAAUCAGAAAGCCACGGCUAACUACGUU
rnacentral:rRNA from 1 species